GCGGUGGAUGAUGUGGUUAAUUCGAUGCAACGCGAAAACCUUACCCACCUUUGACAUGUACGGAACCCUUUAGAGAUAGAGGGGUGCUCGAAAGAGAGCCGUAACACAGGUGCUGCAUGGCUGUCGUCAGCUCGUGUCGUGAGAUGUUGGGUUAAGUCCCGCAACGAGCGCAACCCUUGUCAUUAGUUGCUACAUUCAGUUGGGCACUCUAAUGAGACUGCCGGUGACAAGCCGGAGGAAGGUGGGGAUGACGUCAAGCCCUCAUGGCCCUUAUAGGUGGGGCUACACACGUCAUACAAUGGCUGGUACAAAGGGUUGCCAACCCGCGAGGGGGAGCCAAUCCCAUAAAGCCAGUCGUAGUCCGGAUCGUAGUCUGCAACUCGACUACGUGAAGUCGGAAUCGCUAGUAAUCGUGGAUCAGAAUGUCACGGUGAAUACGUUCCCGGGUCUU
rnacentral:rRNA from 1 species